rnacentral:lncRNA from 1 species
GAGCAAUUCAACUCCUCAUUCUAUCUAUGCACUCUGGCUCGGCAUGCCGACGUCGUGUUCCCUCCAUUUUGUGCGUCUGCGUGUCAUCUCCUCGGUGUUGUAGCCGCUCCUUUGCCUUCGUUGUCUCCGUUCCUUUGUCAUCAUGUCGUCGUUGUUUGAAUUUUUAUGCAAAUAUUAUGAAUUGAAAGCAACAAAGAAAGUUUGAUGAUUAUUUUUCUGGUUUUUGCUGCUAUGUGCAUGUUGUUGAUUUUAUAGUUUUUGUACUAGAUUGCGUUGUCUUUCACUUCAUGUCAGUGCUGAAAAUGAUAAAAUAUACAUAAUAAUAUAAUGAGUUCGAAUGAAC